rnacentral:rRNA from 1 species
UACGGGGGGGGCAAGCGUUGUCCGGAAUUAUUGGGCGUAAAGAGCUCGUAGGCGGCCUGUCGCGUCGGAUGUGAAAAUCCAAGGCUCAACCUUGGACCUGCAUUCGAUACGGGCAGGCUAGAGUUCGGUAGGGGAGACUGGAAUUCCUGGUGUAGCGGUGAAAUGCGCAGAUAUCAGGAGGAACACCGAUGGCGAAGGCAGGUCUCUGGGCAUUAACUGACGCUGAGGAGCGAAAGCAUGGGGAGCGAACAGG